rnacentral:rRNA from 1 species
CUAUCAUGCAGUCGAGCGACAGAUAAGGAGCUUGCUCCUUUGACGUUAGCGGCGGACGGGUGAGUAACACGUGGAUAACCUACCUAUAAGACUGGGAUAACUUCGGGAAACCGGAGCUAAUACCGGAUAACAUAUUGAACCGCAUGGUUCAAUAGUGAAAGGCGGCUUUGCUGUCACUUAUAGAUGGAUCCGCGCCGUAUUAGCUAGUUGGUAAGGUAACGGCUUACCAAGGCAACGAUACGUAGCCGACCUGAGAGGGUGAUCGGCCACACUGGAACUGAGACACGGUCCAGACUCCUACGGGAGGCAGCAGUAGGGAAUCUUCCGCAAUGGGCGAAAGCCUGACGGAGCAACGCCGCGUGAGUGAUGAAGGUCUUCGGAUCGUAAAACUCUGUUAUCAGGGAAGAACAAAUGUGUAAGUAACUGUGCACAUCUUGACGGUACCUGAUCAGAAAGCCACGGCUAACUACGUGCCAGCAGCC